rnacentral:rRNA from 1 species
CAGCCGCCGCGGUAAUACGAAGGGUGCAAGCGUUAAUCGGAAUUACUGGGCGUAAAGCGUGCGUAGGCGGUUUGUUAAGUCUGUUGUGAAAUCCCCGGGCUCAACCUGGGAAUGGCAAUGGAUACUGGCAAGCUGGAGUGUGUCAGAGGAUGGUGGAAUUCCCGGUGUAGCGGUGAAAUGCGUAGAGAUCGGGAGGAACAUCAGUGGCGAAGGCGGCCAUCUGGGACAACACUGACGCUGAGGCACGAAAGCGUGGGGAGCAAACAGGAUUAGAUACCCCCGUAGUCCCUGUCUCUUAUAC